rnacentral:rRNA from 1 species
AACGUGAGCAACCUGCCUUUCAGAGGGGGAGUAACAAGUUGGAAACGACUGCUAAUACCGCAUAACGCUGCGAUGGGGCAUCCCGAUGCAGCCAAAGGAGCAAUCCGCUGGAAGAUGGGCUCGCGGCCGAUUAGCUAGUUGGUGGGGCAACGGCCCACCAAGGCGACGAUCGGUAGCCGGACUGAGAGGUUGAUCGGCCACAUUGGGACUGAGACACGGCCCAGACUCCUACGGGAGGCAGCAG